rnacentral:rRNA from 1 species
AUUGAACGCUGGCGGCAGGCCUAACACAUGCAAGUCGAGCGGGGUUUUCGGACCUAGCGGCGGACGGGUGAGUAAUGCGUAGGAAGCUGCCCGAUAGAGGGGGAUACCAGUUGGAAACGACUGUUAAUACCGCAUAAUGUCUACGGACCAAAGUGUGGGACCUUCGGGCCACAUGCUAUCGGAUGCGCCUACGUGGGAUUAGCUAGUUGGUGAGGUAAUGGCCCACCAAGGGGACGAUGUCUAGCUGGUUUGAGAGGAUGAUCAGCCACACUGGAACUGAGACACGGUCCAGACUCCUACGGGAGGCAGCAGUGGGGAAUAUUGGACAAUGCGCGCAAGCCUGAUCCAGCCAUGCCGCGUGUGUGAAGAAGGCCUUCGGGUUGUAAAGCACUUUCAGCGAGGAGGAAGGGGUGUGUGUUAAUAGUACACACCUUUGACGUUACUCGCAGAAGAAGCACCGGCUAACUCUGUGCCAGCAGCCGCCGUAACAC